ensembl:rRNA 5S_rRNA 5S ribosomal RNA
GGCUACGGCCACACCACCCUGAGCGCGCCCGAUCUCGUCUGAUCUCGGAAGCUAAGCAGGGUCGGGCCUGGUUAGUACUUGGAUGGGAGACCGCCUGGGAAUACCAGGUGCCGUAAGCU